GAUGAACGCUGGCGGCGUGCCUAAUACAUGCAAGUCGAGCGAACGGACGAGAAGCUUGCUUUUCUGAUGUUAGCGGCGGACGGGUGAGUAACACGUGGAUAACCUACCUAUAAGACUGGGAUAACUUCGGGAAACCGGAGCUAAUACCGGAUAAUAUUUUGAACCGCAUGGUUCAAAAGUGAAAGACGGUCUUGCUGUCACUUAUAGAUGGAUCCGCGCUGCAUUAGCUAGUUGGUAAGGUAACGGCUUACCAAGGCAACGAUGCAUAGCCGACCUGAGAGGGGGAACGGCCACACUGGAACUGAGAAACGGUCCAGACUCCUACGGGAGGCAGCAGUAGGGAAUCUUCCGCAAUGGGCGAAAGCCUGACGGAGCAACGCCGCGUGAGUGAUGAAGGUCUUCGGAUCGUAAAACUCUGUUAUUAGGGAAGAACAUAUGUGUAAGUAACUGUGCACAUCUUGACGGUACCUAAUCAGAAAGCCACGGCUAACUACGUG
rnacentral:rRNA from 1 species